rnacentral:rRNA from 1 species
GAUGAACGCUGGCGGCGUGCCUAAUACAUGCGAGUCGAGCGAACGGACGAGAAGCUUGCUUCUCUGAUGUUAGCGGCGGACGGGUGAGUAACACGUGGAUAACCUACCUAUAAGACUGGGUUAACUUCGGGAAACCGGAGCUAAUACCGGAUGAUAUUUUGAACCGCAUGGUUCAAAAGUGAAAGACGGUCUUGCUGUCACUUAUAGAUGGAUCCGCGCUGCAUUAGCUAGUUGGUAAGGUAACGGCUUACCAAGGCAACGAUGCAUAGCCGACCUGAGAGGGUGAUCGGCCACACUGGAACUGAGACACGGUCCAGACUCCUACGGGAGGCAGCAGUAGGGAAUCUUCCGCAAUGGGCGAAAGCCUGACGGAGCAACGCCGCGUGAGUGAUGAAGGUCUUCGGAUCGUAAAACUCUGUUAUUAGGGAAGAACAUAUGUGUAAGUAACUGUGCACAUCUUGACGGUACCUAAUCAGAAAGCCACGGCUAACUACGUG